rnacentral:lncRNA from 1 species
CCUUUGCAUGGAUAGAUGAACUCAACAAGUGAUGAUCACGGAUUUGUUCCUUUUCUUAUAGCCACAUAAGUGUCUAGCCUCCAUGGAUAUCCACAUGGAGUUGGAGGGCUGAUCUACAACCAACUGAUUCUCUGGAGUGCUAGCUCCCUUGUGAAAUCUUUGCUUGAUGGAAGAUCCUUCUCAACUCUUUAGAAGAGUAGUAGGAUAAUAGCUUCUAUAAGAUUCUUUUGCUGAAAUCUAAUUUCAGCAUAACCAAGAGAAAAGAGAAGCUCUGGAGUGGAGAGGGAA